rnacentral:rRNA from 1 species
UGGGGAAUUUUGGACAAUGGGCGCAAGCCUGAUCCAGCCAUUCCGCGUGAGUGAAGAAGGCCUUCGGGUUGUAAAGCUCUUUCGGCCGGAACGAAACGGGUCAUAUUAAUACUAUGGCCUACUGACGGUACCGGAGUAAGAAGCACCGGCUAACUACGUGCCAGCAGCCGCGGUAAUACGUAGGGUGCGAGCGUUAAUCGGAAUUACUGGGCGUAAAGCGUGUGCAGGCGGUUUGUUAAGACAGGUGUGAAAUCCCCGGGCUUAACCUGGGAAUUGCGCUUGUUACUGGCAAGCUAGAGUGCGUCAGAGGGGGGUGGAAUUCCACGUGUAGCAGUGAAAUGCGUAGAGAUGUGGAGGAACACCGAUGGCGAAGGCAGCCCCCUGGGAUGACACUGACGCUCAUACACGAAAGCGUGGGGAGCAAACAGGAUUAGAUACCCCCGUAGUCC